UCACAUGUUGCAUCGCAGGCGUCUGAUCCCUCAGUCGCGUAUACACCGGGCACUGCAUCAUCGUCGACCAGCUGACGAGAACGUGGACCCACGCGUGGGUUACUUUUAGAGCGACUUACGCAUGAGGGUAGGGUGACGGUAGAGUUCCCACAUGACUGCAUUAGACCUGCUGAGAACAAUGUCAGGUUGUUUACGUCGAAGGUCGGUGUCUUAUACCAAUCUCUGAUCCCCCCACCACCCCCCGUUGGGCAAACGUGACAGAUGAUGUGCGGCAGCUCAUCCGUCAGCGCCUUCAGGAUAAAUUUGACUUGGAUUUUAGUGUUCCGCACAUUUCUCAUGUCGUCGACAACAUGGUCAAGGAGCGGUUAAAGGAGUACCGCGGUGACUUACACAAGCGGUACAAGCGGUGCAUGAGCCACGAGGAGGGCGUACUGUCCGCACCGUCGCACGUAACCCAUGACGACUGGCGGAUACUCUGCGAGAGAUUUUCUUCUAAGUCUUUUCAUAAGAGGAGCAAAAUAAAUUUUGACAACAGGGGAAAGUUAGAAGUGAACCACGUAGCUGGUUCAAAGUCAUUUGUACAACUUCAUCACGACAUGCGAGAUUCCGUCACUGGCUAGGAGCCCAGACUAGUGGACCUCUACAGAGGGACUCACUGUUGGCAGGCGACGGGAUCUUGGGUACAUCCUAGUGCCAGCGAGAAUUGGAUAAAAAUCCUUACAUUGUAAAAUUUAAUUACAUUGAAUUAUAAUAAUGUCAUUUGUUAUGAAAAUUUAUAUGUUUUCAUUACAGGCGGUGAUGAACACCUUACGCAGUCAGCCCACUCCCGAU